rnacentral:rRNA from 1 species
UGGCGGCACUAGCGCGGUGGUCCCACCUGACCCCAUGCCGAACUCAGAAGUGAAACGCCGUAGCGCCGAUGGUAGUGUGGGGUCUNCUAUCGUUAACUGAAUACAUAGGUUAACGAGGCGAACCGGGGGAACUGAAACAUCUAAGUA